CCCACGCCGGCGGGAGCCGCCCGUUCGCGCUGCCAGCAGCUUCCGCCUGCUACGGUCCUGGCAAGCACCUCGGGAUCCCAUUCCUUCACAGGGACCCUAGCCAGGAGUCUCUGCAUUAGUUGGACAGCUCUUCUGGAAUUAUCUUCUAAGUCAACUGUGGGUUGGGUAGGUGGCUCUGCUGAUUUUUCGCUGGACUUCCACAUUUGGGACGAGUUGGCUGUCAUCAGCUCUAGAAAGGGUGUGGCCGUUUUACAUUGGCUGUUUUCCUCACAUUCCUCAAGCAGGUACUGUAAUAAAGAACUGGAGAAAUACAGUCAGAUGGGAAGUAGCCCUUGCUGUCAAGGAGCUUGCCAUCUAAUGGGGGAGACAGGCAAGUAAACCAAAGACUACACAGUGCAGUAUGGUAAGUGCCAUGAUUUUGAUGUGACAGGGCACAGUGGACGACCUUCCAAAUCAAAGCAAGUAACUAGGGGUUGACAAUGGUAAGUAUCAUAGUUGAAGUAUCCUUGAACAAGGUUUCAGGAAGAAGAAGAAGGGAAUUUCAUGCAGGGAAACAGCCAAAGCUCAGUGAGUCAAAAUAUCACAGCAUUCUUGGUAAGCCCAAUUGUUUUUUCUGUUUU
rnacentral:lncRNA from 10 species